UUCAGAUUGCAGGCUGCAACUCGCCUGCAUGAAGUUGGAAUUGCUAGUAAUCGCGAAUCAGAAUGUCGCGGUGAAUACGUUCCCGGGCCUUGUACACACCGCCCGUCACACCAUGAGAGUCGAUAACACCCGAAGCCUGUGAGCUAACCGUAAGGAGGCAGCAGUCGAAGGUGGGGUUGAUGAUUGGGGUGAAGUCGUAACAAGGUAUC
rnacentral:rRNA from 1 species